AUUGAACGCUGGCGGCAGGCCUAACACAUGCAAGUCGAGCGGCAGCGGGAAAGUAGCUUGCUACUUUUGCCGGCGAGCGGCGGACGGGUGAGUAAUGCCUGGGAAAUUGCCCAGUCGAGGGGGAUAACAGUUGGAAACGACUGCUAAUACCGCAUACGCCCUACGGGGGAAAGCAGGGGACCUUCGGGCCUUGCGCGAUUGGAUAUGCCCAGGUGGGAUUAGCUAGUUGGUGAGGUAAUGGCUCACCAAGGCGACGAUCCCUAGCUGGUCUGGGAGGAUGGUCAGCCAGACUGGAACUGAGACACGGUCCAGACUCCUACGGGAGGCAGCAGUGGGGAAUAUUGCACAAUGGGGGAAACCCUGAUGCAGCCAUGCCGCGUGUGUGAAGAAGGCCUUCGGGUUGUAAAGCACUUUCAGCGAGGAGGAAAGGUUGAUGCCUAAUACGUAUCAACUGUGACGUUACUCGCAGAAGAAGCACCGGCUAACUCCGUGCCAGCCGCCGCGGUAAUAC
rnacentral:rRNA from 1 species